rnacentral:rRNA from 1 species
GGCAUCUUCUGUUUUUUAACACCUAGCAAUAGGUAUGCUUAGGGAGGAGCUUGCGUCACAUUAGUUAGUUGGUGGGGUAAAGGCCUACCAAGACUAUGAUGUGUAGCCGGGCUGAGAGGUUGAACGGCCACAUUGGGACUGAGACACGGCCCAAACUCCUACGGGAGGCAGCAGUAGGGAAUUUUCGGCAAUGGAGGAAACUCUGACCGAGCAACGCCGCGUGAACGAUGAAGUAUUUCGGUACGUAAAGUUCUUUUAUUAGGGAAGAAUAAAUGAUGGAAAAAUCAUUCUGACGGUACCUAAUGAAUAAGCCCCGGCUAACUAUGUGCCAGCAGCCGCGGUAAUACAUAGGGGGCAAGCGUUAUCCGGAAUUAUUGGGCGUAAAGGGUGCGUAGGCGGUUAAAUAAGUUUAUAGUCUAAGUGCAAUGCUCAACAUUGUGAUGCUAUAAAAACUGUUUAGCUAGAGUAAGAUAGAGGCAAGUGGAAUUCCAUGUGUAGUGGUAAAAUGCGUAAAUAUAUGGAGGAACACCAGUAGCGAAGGCGGCUUGCUGGGUCUUUACUGACGCUGAGGCACGAAAGCGUGGGGAGCAAACAGGAUUAGAUACCCUGGUAGUCCACGCCGUAAACGAUGAGUACUAAACGUUGGGUAAAACCAGUGUUGAAGUUAACACAUUAAGUACUCCGCCUGAGUAGUACGUACGCAAGUAUGAAACUUAAAGGAAUUGACGGGACUCCGCACAAGCGGUGGAUCAUGUUGUUUAAUUCGAAGGUACCCGAAAAACCUCACCAGGUCUUGACAUGCUUCUGCAAAGCUGUAGAAACACAGUGGAGGUUAUCAGUUGCACAGGUGGUGCAUGGUUGUCGUCAGCUCGUGUCGUGAGAUGUUGGGUUAAGUCCCGCAACGAGCGCAACCCUUAUUGUUAGUUACCAGCACGUAAGGGACUUUAGCCCCACUGCCAGUGAUAAAUUGGAGGAAGGUGGGGACGACGUCAAAUCAUCAUGCCCCUUAUGACCUGGGCUAAAGGGAUGGCUGUUACAAAGGGUAGCUAAUUCAGGGCUCGAAGCGCAAGUUUUUGGCGAAUCGGCCCGAUUAUUCUGCAACUCGACUUCAUGAAGUUGGAAUCGCUAGUAAUCGCG